ACAUUUAUCAUUCCUGUAUAAAAGGUUGGAAACUACAGGGUAUACAGGAGAGUCUAGUGUGGCCUAAGUACCUACAUUAUUAUUGGUCCUGAAGCAAUUGUGUUGUUAUUCGUUUAUAUUUUUCUAAAGGUUCAGUGUCUCUAAUGAUUUGAAAUAUGAUGCUGAAAGGGAUCUGAAUGAUAUUGGCUGUUCUAUUGAUGUGUCUCUACU